GGACUACAGGGGUAUCUAAUCCUGUUUGAUCCCCACGCUGUCGUGCAUGAGCGUCAGUUACGAGCCAGUGAGCCGCCUUCGCCACCGGUGUUCUUCCCAAUAUCUACGAAUUUCACCUCUACACUGGGAAUUCCACUCACCUCUCUCGUACUCGAGCUCUACAGUUUCAAUGGCAGUUCCGGAGUUGAGCUCCGGGCUUUCACCACUGACUUGAAGAACCGCCUGCGCACGCUUUACGCCCAGUAAUUCCGAACAACGCUAGCCCCCUUCGUAUUACCGCGGCUGCUGGCAC
rnacentral:rRNA from 1 species